UUCAGGUUUUCCUGCUUCUAAGUCCAACAUUCUAUCACCUAUGCCACUGAGCUGCCCUAUUAUUUGAUAUGAUCAUGAGGUGAACUGGUUGACAUCUAAAUGCAUAUUAACUGCUUCUUGGGACAAAUCUAACAAGUGCAUAGGUAAAAUCCCAAGUGGAUACUUUGGAUCAGUGGGAGAGAUCAUCAUAUCAUAAGAUCACAGUCUAGAUCUGAAAGGGACCUCAGAUGUCACCUGGUGAAACUCCAUCAUUUCAAGGCUGAGAAAACUGAAGACCAGGAAGGUAAAAUUUCUUGCCCAAAUUUGAGAAUCAGAAAAGGCCAAUAACUGCCAGUGAGCCUGAGAAAUGGAUGUCUCCAAUCUUGAUGGUAACCUCAUGAAUCUGAGAUGUCCAGAUUUCCUGAGUCCAGUACCAUCCGCCCAGCAGACAAUGCUUCAUUUGUACACUAGCACGACUGACAAGAGAAUGCUUUUCACCAAGAAAAGGACUAAGAAAACUGGGGCUGAAGACCUUGUGAGCUGAUCAGACACGUGUGGAUGGCUGGGCAAUCUCUUGAAUUAUUGUUGAUUUCAUUGAUCCGGUAUUCCAGGGCUUAAUGCAAUCAGCACAAUGUCAUCCUGAAAAUCUCACAUCUGAAUGUGAGCAUCUGAAAUACCUCAGUAUCUACAGAGAAUCCCUCCUCUACUUGCACACCUGUUUUUAUGCCUCAAUUGGCAUUGAUGCUUAGUAGAUCUUCGAACAAAGUUUUCCCUCUGGUCUCAUGUCAUAGUUUUCCAAUUUGAGUUUAAAUGAGAGACAUGUUAUUCAAGGAGAGAUUUUUAUUCUAUCAAAUUAAAUGUGCUUUUGUUUUUGUAAUCAGCAAACAAUAGACAAAACACAUCUUAAAACCUCCACAUCUCUCAGUCAGUUGUUUGACUAUGAUGACUGUUAUGGAAAAUCAUUUGCAAAAUCCUUCCUGUAUGGCAGCUCCCAAAAGAAGAAAAAUAAACUAUCAACAAUCAUAUGAAAAAUGUCCCCAAAUCAUUGUUAAGAGAAAUACACGGUUUUAAAACUCUGAGAUUCCACUUCUUGUCCAUCAUAUUGUCAAGGAUGAUUUCCUCCCCCCCCCCAAAAAAAAAGGAAAACAACCAUUUUCGAGGGAAUGUGUGAAUUGAUUCAGCCUUUCUGGAAAGCUAUUUGGAACUGUGCCCUACAAGUCACUAAGCUAUGUAUUUCUGACAAUUCUACAAUUAGCCCAAACCCUAAAGAGAUCAAAGAAAGAGGAAAAAGAACCAUUUAUAUAAAAACUGAUUCGUUGUUAAAAGGACUGGAAACUAAAAAGGUUUCCAUCAAUUGGAGAGUAGUCAUGUAAUAAGAUAUUAUUUCACCUUAUGAAAUGACAAAAGGAACAAUUUUGGAAAAGCCUGGGAAGACUAGAAUGAAUUGAUACAGUGAAAUGAGCAGAAC